AUACGGAGGGUCCGAGCGUUAUCCGGAAUCAUUGGGUUUCAAGGGUCCGUAGGCGGGAAUCUAAGUCAGUGGUGAAAUCUUGCAGCUCAACUGUAAAAUUGCCAUUGAUACUGGAUUUCUUGAAUUAGUGUGAAGUGGUUAGAAUGUGUAGUGUAGCGGUGAAAUGCAUAGAGAUUACACAGAAUACCAAUUGCGAAGGCAGAUCACUAACACUAUAUUGACGCUAAGGGACGAAAGCGUGGGGAGCGAACAGGAUUAGAAACCCUAGUAGUCC
rnacentral:rRNA from 1 species